rfam:Domibacillus antri strain XD80 WGS_contig_22, whole genome shotgun sequence.
UACCUAAUACCGCUUAAUCCAUAGGAGUGGGGGACCCAACUUCGUGCACAGCACUAGGGGUGAAUCCUUCGUUAGAAGGCAGGGCUACUUUUGAAGCCCGAAUCCGACAGCUAACCCCAUCAGCGUUUCAAAGGAGGUUU